AUAGUGGAUAUUUCUCGGAGUUUGGCCCGUGGUUUUUCCCUCUAAAUUUGGGAGGGUUUUCCACGUAAAUUUUGGUGUUCCGAUUGCUUGUGUUAUUUUCCAUAUUGUUCAACGACCGAGUAAAGUGAGAAUUAAUAUUUUAUUCCCAACAAUUCGAUCAUUACGUCAACUUGCUUUACAUGUGCUCAUGUGCUAAGUGUACUUAUGGUGUGUAAAAUGAUGCUAAAUUAGUCUUUCAUCGCGCUAGGUGCUCACCUUUUUUCUCUGGGUGGAAGCUGGCGGGCAGGGCUGCCCUCUACUUUUGGUGAUCUUUAACUGUGGUCGCACAAUAAUCAUUAUGGACGCAUCUAUGAAAUUUAGCCAUUCCCAUGCUAGGCCCGUGCUACCUUCUAGUUUGAUAUAAAAUUUCUCUAGUUCACUGGGUUUGGACUGGAUUAGGUUUAAUUUGUUUUGACAGCAUAAUGAAAGUUAGCAUAAUUAUGAAGAAGAAAGUUAUUAUUUGAUUUAAGUAUUCAAUAUCAAAGUUGCUGGUUCUAUUAAUGUUAAAUCUGGCCGACUAUUGAUGUAACAAUCCUAUAUUCUUUUAUACAAAUAGGUAAGACAGAUACAUUAUUUAUUUUUUCUACUUGGUAAAUUAUUUUUGGAUAGUCACGUUUCUUGGUCCUUGAAGUAAAGAAAUAAUGUUAUUAGUCCUCAAAUUUCAAAGCACAUCAAAUACAUUUGGUAUUUGAUUUCCUUUUGUUCUUCAAAAUAGACAACUUUGUUGUGUUAUAUAUGUUGGGUUUUUAAGGUAUUUAAUUAAUAUAUUAAAUAUUUAAAAGAGGGGUGAAUGGAAAAUGAAGAAAUGAAUGUUUUGAGUGUAAGUUUCUCCCCUUGGUAUAUGGGCAUUGUCUUAUAAUGGAAGAGGAAGAGAUUUUUUAUAGGUUUAUAAGAAAUUGCUCUUCUUUUAGCUACUAAAGAGUUGAGAAGAAAGCAACCUCGCGCCGUCGUCGUCGUCGCUCGUUGAUUAACUUUUUGGACCAAAUUUAUUUAUUAAUGGUAAAAUAUUAACAGAAAUGCAUUAUUAAAUAUUUGUAAAUAAUAAAAU
rnacentral:lncRNA from 1 species